AAAAGUCUUACUUUUGGGCUUGUAUGGCUUCUUGGCUUUGCCUCUCCCCUUGUUGGGUAAGACCAUCAGAAUGGCCUUAUCAUUUCCUUUAUUAAUGUUUUGCUCAGCAGUUCUUAACAUGCCAAGCAAUUCAGGUAGUGUUUUCUCAAUUUCGUUCAUGUUGUAGUUCAUGACGAAUUGAUUGAAGCUAUGAGGCAAUUAUUGCAAGAUAAGAUCAACAGCCAACUCUUGGCCAAGUGGGAAUCCAAGCCUCUCAAGGUUCUCAACAUACCCAAUCAUCUUGAGUACAUGAGCCCCUACAGGACUUCCCUCUGCCAGCCUACAUUGAUAAAGCUUCUUGGAAACCUCAAACCGCUCAUGCCUAGCUUGCCCUUGAUAGAGCUUCUUCAAGUGCACGAUCAUAUCGUACGCUUCCAUGUUCUCAUGUUGCUUCUGAAGCUCAGAGUUCAUGGAAGCCAGCAUGAGACAGCUAUCAUCUAUAGCAUCGUCUUGCAGCUUGUAAGACCUGGAUUUUCAGAACAAGUUAAUUUCCGACUCACGCGUAGAAUCAGUGUGAGCGUGACAGGAGUUUGGUAUUAGAGAAAGAUUAAUGAAGAAGAAAGUUCAGGAAUUACUUGAGGAAUGUUGCGUAGUUGCUUUCGGAGUUAGUACGAGUCGUCUGCACAUCUGCCUUAUGACGAGCGUGUCCAGAAUAGGCUUUUUCGCUUCUAGAGCAACGUUUUAAGGGAGAUUUCUAAUCCUUGGAAAAUUUAAAGAUUCUCUUUAUUUUUCCUUCGACCAGCGUUUCAUUUCGGAACUCUGGACUGUACGCACGAUAGUAUUCACAUUUCGGAAGUUCGCCGACGCUAAUUUCUUUGCUUCAAAACCCUAGAUUCGAGCGAUGGAUGAAGACUUUUUUCUAUUCGGGACUUCUAACGGACUUUCCGUCCGCGUUGCCAGAUUUGUUUCGACAUUUCCAAUCUUUCUUCAGAAGGAAGUUUUGUCGUCCGGCGAUCACAGCAAAAAGUAGUUUUUCGGGACAGAUUUAACUUACACCGCUUUUGAGAUUUUCGAUAUCGUUUUUCCCAUAUCAUAGAUAUUUGUUUUGAGUUCUGGAUUUCUGACGCCAGAAUCUCUCUUAGAAUUCCUUGGUGAACGUGCUGCAAAAAUCGGAAUCGCGAAAUUUUCAUUUUCCCGGGAUUUCGCCCGCCUAUAAAUAGGCGAAAAAGCAAAAUAUCUUCCAUUUUCCUCCAUUAGUGGCCCAAAUUCGUGGAGAGCAACGGGGGAGGAGAUUUUCGCGAAAACUUGACCAAUCUUCGCGUAGUUCGUCCCUACUUCUAGGUAUCGAGGUAACUAACACGAAUCCUAUCUCUGAUUGUUGUUUCUGUUGCGUUUCUGACGUCGUUUCUGUGCUCUAAGUUUUGAGCUUUUUCUAAAAUUGUCCGAUUUCCUCGAUUUCUUGCUUGGGUUAUGUUCUCUAGGUUCCCAAGAGCCUAAAACCUCUGUCAGUAAACUCUGAUUGUGAUCCAGUUGACAGGGAUCUGAAAAACUGAUUCAAAACCCUUUUUGCUCACAUUUCGAAACUUUAUUGUCGAGAAGUCAUAAUCUGACUUCGUGCCUUUAGGAUUAGUUGUUACAUAUGUCGUGAGGAUCAUUGUUGUCAAAUUUGUUUUCCGAUCUGAUAACUUUGAGGUUUUGAGCUUUUAUUUUGGACCAAAAUGCCCCUGGAUAGCCGUAUUUCGACCCGUUUGUCCGAAAAUUGUUCUGACAGUUUCUUUGCCUUAGUUUUACCCUAAAACUACCUUGUGAAGUGAUUUGGUCGAAGAAAAAGAGCCGAAGCCCUUUUUCCUUUAGGGCCGUGGGCUAUUCCUUUAGGGGGGGAGUUUUUUUCGGUUUCGAAAACUUGUCUUUUCAUACCCGAUUGUCUUAUUCUGAAGCUUUAAUGCUUUGUCUAUCGUUUAUGUGUUGUAUUGCGAUCGAGCUAAUCGAUUUUGUUUGGAUUCUGCUUUGUUUUCUCCGAGGUUCAGUUGAAGGAACUUUAGGAACUUCAAAGCAAUUGAGUGAAGGAGCCUUUGCUUGUGAUUGCGAAGCUGAAUCAGCUCGAGGCGUCUGUCAGCCGGUUCGUGAUGAUUCGUUGUGCGGGAAAGACCCGGAGCGAAAUGACUAAGACUAAAGCUUUCGACGAAGACCCGGACUUCAUACCUGAUCGAGGGAGGGUCGAUGAUAGUAGUGUGGGUUAUGGGUGGUUAGAGUCUUUUGGAGUUGGUUGUUACUGUAAUAGCUCUGAUUCGUUUUGCUUUUGGGACAGGGUAGGUUCCCGACGCAUGGCUUUUGUGUGGUUCUCUUACUGAGGGAUCACAGUGAGUCAGUCGGACCAUAGGGGUCUUUGCUUAGGCCAUUUUGAGGCCGACUUUCUCCUAGUGGGUUGUAAUUAUACUCUUUCUCACUCACAUUUCUGGUUUUGUACAUAUUUGCCUACGGGCACACUACUUUGGAGUCACUGCAAGUGUGCGUGACGUGGAAGUGCAGCUGAGGCUGUACAUGUUUAUAUUUGAUGUAUAUUGGUAAGUUUAGUGGUUGGGUUAUGACUUUA